UAACGAAUCUUCCGCAAUGCACGAAAGUGUGACGGAGCGACGCCGCGUGCUGGAUGAAGUCCUUCGGGAUGUAAACAGCUGUCAAGGGUAAGAAAGUUCUGAUCUAUCCGAGAGGAAGUGGCGACUAACUCUGUGCCAGCAGUCGCGGUAAUACAGAGGCCACAAGCGUUAGGCGGAAUCACUGGGCUUAAAGCGUGUGUAGGCGGAUAUCUAAGUACCUUGUGAAAUCCCACGGCUCAACCGUGGAACU
rnacentral:rRNA from 1 species